CAAAUUAGAGCUUAUAAAGUAUUUUAUUUACAUUAAAAAGUUAGUUGUGAAAUUCAAUUUAAUUUGA
rnacentral:tRNA from 1 species